UUGUUUUUGCAGCAUGUCUAUUUAAAAAUAACAAAACAAACAAAAAAAAUGCCCACACAAAUCAACUUUAAUAAUGUUUCGGAUGAAGUUCUGUCUGGAGUGAACUGCAGCAACUUUCAAACACUAAUCCAGGAGAUUACAGAGAAACAUACUCUGCAAACAAAAGUACAAACUUCGAGGUUCCAGUUGCACUUGGCAUAGUUUCCAGACAUUUACCAACUUUCCAGCUUAGAGUCUCUCGUACCAGACUAACUUUCAUCUAUGGAAGUUUCAAAUAACUGAUAAUAGGUUUAUAUUACGAGGUGAACUAAAGCCGCUCAAAUUACCUUCAGAAGAUGUGACGGGU